rnacentral:rRNA from 1 species
CAGUGCCGCGGUAAUACGAGGGGGGCAAGCGCUGUUCGGAAUUACUGGGCGUAAAGCGCACGUAGGCGGUUUUGUAAGUCAGAGGUGAAAGCCCGGAGCUCAACUCCGGAACUGCCUUUGAGACUGCAUCACUUGAACGUCGGAGAGGUGAGUGGAAUUCCGAGUGUAGAGGUGAAAUUCGUAGAUAUUCGGAAGAACACCAGUGGCGAAGGCGGCUCACUGGACGACUGUUGACGCUGAGGUGCGAAAGCGUGGGGAGCAAACAGGAUUAGAUACCCGGGUAGUCCCUGUCUCUUAUACC